rnacentral:rRNA from 1 species
CCUACGGGAUGCUGCAGUAGGGAAUUUUGCGCAAUGGGCGACAGCCUGACGCAUCAACGCCGCGUGAACGCUACGCCCUUCGGGGUUUAAAGUUCUGUCAUUGGUGACGAUAAAUGACUGUACCCACAGAGGAAGCACCGUCUCACUCCGUCCCAGCAGCCGCGGUAAUACGGAGGGUGCAAGCGUUGUCCGGAUUCAUUGGGCGUAAAGAGUUCGUAGGCGGCAUGUAAAGUCAGGUGUUAAAGGCUCAGGCUCAACCUGUGUAUGGCACUUGAUACUUGCAAGCUAGAAUGCGGUAGAGGUAAAGGGAAUUCCUGGUGUAGCGGUGAAAUGCUUAGAUAUCAGGAGGAACAGCGGUGGCGUAAGCGCUUUACUGGGCCGUAAUUGACGCUGAGGAACGAAAGCCAGGGUAGCAAAUGGGAGUAGAUACCCUUGUAGUC